rnacentral:lncRNA from 8 species
UAACAUAUCAUACUAAUCUCUAAUCUAGACUCAGAUUUAUGUACAGAGUAAUACGAAAUGAUCUGAAUGCUCUGAGACCAGGUUGCAUGCAGCACAGCAGAAAAUAUCCCAGAUUGUGCCAUUCUUUCAUUAGCCUGUUGAUUUUCCUGUUGUGGCGCUGUAGUUCUGCCACCGUAAAAGCCUGAGAAGGAGGAGUGUAGCCUACCGCAGCACAGGAGACGUUUUACUUUACCACACCUCGACUCGUGAGCUGACCGUUUUAAAGAUAUCAUGUUCGUUUGAGGGAGAAAGCGGAUUCCACACUGAUGUUACGGCCCUACAGUACCUGAGGCAGUGGAAAUCUGGGGAGACGAGCAUCCACAGGAGAUUCAGUGAGAGGGAAGAGGGCGUCCAGAGAGAACCAGGGCCUCCGGACCCACUCAGAGCAAAGCAGCAGCACAGCAGGGAUGAGCGAGUUCUGGCACAAGAUUGGCUGCUGCGUGGUGGCCAAACCUCCACCGGUGAGUUUGUCCCUUCUGAGAAAUUACUGGAACACACAGUAACUUUUUAGCUGCCAUGCUAGCCCUGCUUUUACAGCUUCAAGGUCAAUGGGUCGAGAUGAAGAUUUUGUCUGAUUUUAAGAUGUUUACCUGCCUCCCAGGAGUUUGGAUAUUAGAUUGACCACACCACCAUAUCUACAAC